CUCCAUGCUUAGUUUAAAUAAUAAUAAAAAAGAAUAGAGGUGUAUGUAUGUCUCAUGGCCAGUCCCGAAAGGUAAUGGCAGCAAUGCUGCUUCUCCAGGCGAUGGAAUAUGAGACUGCCAUCAGGUGGAGGAACUUUCUGAAAGGUUGAACUUUCUAGAAGAACCAUCAACACCCAAAGACUUUUUAUGUGACGUUUACUUAGGAAUUUACAAACAUGAUUGGUUUGCUCCAACAAGUUAAGGAGAUUAUCAUCCAGAAAAAUCUCCUUCGUCACACCUAACACUAGCCACUCCUUGUAGCAACAGGCAGUUGGGUAGAAAACAACUUGUCUUCUCUGAUUCUUAGUUUAAAUAAAAAACCAAAAGAAUAAAGGAAUAUGCAUGUCUCAUGUUCAAUCCCAAAAGGUAACAGCAACAACAUUGCUUCCUCAGGCAAUAGAAUAUGAGACUGUUUCUAGGUCGAAGUACUUCCUUAAAGUAUUGCACUUUCAAAAGAAACAUUAACAUCCAAUGACUUUCUUUGUGACAUUCACUUACAAAUAGGUUACAUGUUCUUGGAUUAUGAUAUAUAUGGUUCUUGGAUUAUGAUAUAUAACCCCCCUUUAGGCUUAAAUAAAAAACCAAAAGAGUCUAUUUGAAAAUCGACGCCAGGUAAUAGAAAAAAUUAACUAUAGAAGGUCAAAAUCAUAUUCCAAAUUUAGAUGAUUUUACAUAGCCUAAAAAACUGUAAUCCUCUUUGUGUCUAUUGAUUUCAUAGUUUAGGUGUCUAUUGAUUAAUUCCACUCCAAGUAGGACUUAUGAUCAAGUCCUAUUAAUUAAAUUCAAUUAGUUAAAUUAAAUUGCAAUCCGAUUGCAAUUAUUCCUUCUUUUAACCACUAACUCUUAGCGGAUUAACCAUUUAUCAAUCUAAUUGAUCAUAUGUGAUUCUUAAUCACAAUUCAACCAUCGGAUCGAUCAAUACUUCUAUUGUGUGUGAUCCCAUAGGUUCCAUUCUGACUGGUAGUGAGAUAUAUUGCGAUCUCUAUCACAAUAUCAUUGAAAACUCCUUUUAAUGAGUUGAAACAAUUCCAACUCAACUCACCAGGGAUUAUCAACCAUCGAGAUGAUCCCUGUGAGUCUCACCAUCCACCAGUGAUACCUAGCAGUAUGUAGUGGCUACCCAGCAGAAUAGAAUGAUGAACCUCUAGGUGCAAUUAUCGUAUGAUACAGUCCUUCUAUCGUGGAUCCCUACAGACAGGAGGUCAUGGAUAACUCAUCAAACCCCAUCGUCUGUCAUAUGUCUAGAUUUAUUCGACUUGAGUUCAAUAGUGGAAAAACUCUUUCUCUACUAUAUUUACUGCCCCGGCCAAGGUCUUAGAACUCAGUCUAAUAAAUCACAUAGGAUCAUUCCUCUUCUAUCAAGGUCGAUAGAUUCCAUGUAAGUGCAUACCCUACUCCUACAAUGAACCUACUACAGCCAAUCUACACUACAAGGACCCAUAUGACUAGAGACCAUGUAUACAUGUAGUCAAACUAUAAUAACCUCACUGUGAGUAGCCGAAGCACCGCAGGUCAAAGGACCAGUCAUACUACUGUAACUCAAGCAAGUCACUGAUGAGUGGAUAGACAUCC
rnacentral:lncRNA from 1 species